UACAGAGGGUGCGAGCGUUAAUCGGAAUUACUGGGCGAAAAGCGCACGUAGGUGGCGACGUAAGUCGGGUGUGAAAGCCCCGGGCUCAACCUGGGAAUUGCAUUCGAGACUGCAUUGCUGGAGUACGGAAGAGGAGGGCGGAAUUCCCGGUGUAGCGGUGAAAUGCGUAGAUAUCGGUAGGAACAUCAGUGGCGAAGGCGGUCAUCUGGUCCAGUACUGACACUCUAGUGCGAAAGCGUGGGGAGUAAACAGG
rnacentral:rRNA from 1 species